AUAAGAAUGUAAUGUAAAGUUUGAACAGUUAUGUUUAUGUAACUAUGUUAUUGAGGAUAGAGUUGUGCUUGACCAUAGUAUAUGUUAAUCCCUUGGUAUGUACAUGAUCUUAUUUUAUGAUGUAUAUGUGAACCAACUCAACACAGGAUAUAUAUUGCCCAUUGAGGCUUUGAUGAAAUCCCACAGAGGGAUUAAUGUUUAUGUAUAUGAUGAAUAUAGUGCAUGCACAGGUUGAGUUUGAUAAAUGAAGAAAAAGAAAAGUUUUUAAUUCUUAUGUAUGUUUGUUGAUCAUGUAUGGGAUUAAACAGGUAAACAGGAUGUAUGUUAGGCUUGCUACGGGUCCCGGCGGCCUUACGCCGAUCUGGAUCCUAGCGCCGGUAGCGGUCCGGAUUUCCGGGGCGUUAC
rnacentral:lncRNA from 1 species